AGUGCUGAGAGCUGGCGGAGGACGUGCCCUCCUGGGCUCAGAGCAGGAGACUGGCCUCUUGCUCCACAUGGACUGAAAUUCCCAGGAAACAGGCUGCAGGCAUGGACGCUGGACGUUGUGGGAGCGUGAGUGGUGGCGACACGGAGGCCCAGAGUGAGGAAGUCAUGUAUUCAAGGUGGCAGAGCUGGGAUUUGUAUAUCAUCUCUGUACCUGAGCCCCUAACCUGCAAGUCAUAAUAGGCAACGGAUCAAUGUUAUGAUGCAGUGGAGGCCCUUACCAGAAGCCAACCAGAUGCCAGCACCAUGCUCUUGGAUUUCCCAGUCUCCAGAAUGGUGCAGGUGGAGACGGAACCCUAGACACUGCUCAUCCCAAUCAGGCCCUUUCCAGGCCUGUCCCAUUCCAAUCGGGCAUCAGAUGUGGCAUUGAUCAUCAUCUACUUAACAAACGAGGCUCCCCUUUCAAUGCACUUGGGUCUCCUCUGGGCCAACCUUGGUUCUGAGAUAGCAGGUGCUGAAAUACUGCUGAAUCCUCAAAGCCAGACUAGCCAGUGCCUGGCACCUGAUGGGAAUAUGAUUUCAACGAACAGAAAUGAAGAGACCACCCAGAAAUACAGACCCAGCCUUUCAUUCUCUUAUAUUCCUUAUGUCCAACAUUUAUUGGGCCCUUACCAUGUG
rnacentral:lncRNA from 1 species